AAGGCGCUGUCAGUAACUUUCCGUCUCUGUGAACGGAGCAAGCAAAACGACUUCUCGCAGAGUUGCAGAAGGUGCAAAUGCGCCAUUAACUAAUUCUGCGUUAAAGUUCCACUCACCGCGCAAGAGAUGUCCCGUCACCCACUCCUUAGGACCUGCCCACUCCUAAGAGGAAGAAAGCAACUGAGAGAAAGUUUGAGGAUGCAAGUUCCGGGAGGCUGUGGCCACGGCGCAGAGGGCGGGCGGCCCAACGGGGUGGGGCUCCGUGCUGUGUUUCCGGUUCUGGUGCUGAUCCUGGGGCUCACGCUGCUCACCGCAGGUUUUCUGGAAGUGGAGAUGGCAGGGAGGACUCAGAUGGUUUUCCUGAAUGAAAAUGCGACUAUCUUUUGCAAGAUCCCUGGUUUCCCACACCUGGACAUCAACAGUAUGGGUAUCACCUGGUUUCGGAAGGCUCAGUUGUCUGAAAUAGAGAUCAAACUGUUUGAAUUUUUUGGAGACCACAAAGUGGCAUUCCGACCUGGAGCCAACGUGUCUCCAUGGAGGCUGAAGAGGGGGGAUGCCUCACUGCAGCUGCCUGGGGUCCAACUGUGGGAAGCAGGAGAGUACCGAUGUGAGUUGGUGGUCACUCCUCAGAAGGCACAGGGAAGAGUCUGGCUGGAGGUUGUAGCUCACCCAGUCAGUAGCUUGUUUCUGGAGCGAGCCGUGGUGAAAGAUAAUGAAGACAGACAUAUUUUGUGUAAGUCAAGUGGAUUCUACCCAGAGUAUAUUAACGUAACAUGGAAAAGGUGGACCCAGAAGGAUCCCCAGUUCCAGGAGAUUUCUGAGGACGUUAUCACUGGCCCCACCAUGAAGAAUGAGGAUGGUACAUUUAAUAUCACCAGCGACUUGAGGCUGAAGCCCUCUCUGGAAGACAAUGUGACCAUCUACCAGUGUGUGGUAUGGCAUGUAUCCUCACUCAUGUGCCAGGGUUUCAACUUCACCCCGAUUCUGAUAGAAUCUGAGAAGAAAACUGACUCGUGGAUUGUUUGGUUGUGUAUUGGAUUAAUCUCUGCUGGACUGAUCGAAAAGCAGAAAAAUCGAUUAAUCAAGAAAAAAGGCUGUUUGUCUAAAGCUGACCAACUGAUUCAUAGAGCCUGCUGGAGGGUGAGAGACACCGGAAUCAGAGCCUGCUAGAGGAUGAGAGACCCUGGAAGCUGGAGCUAGUUGCUCUAGUGGAGGCCAGUCUGGAUCAGAUGACAGCCACCGGACAUCUCAAAGGAAACAUCCUGACCAGGCCCACCUGUGAAUGACUGCAGGAAGGAAGAAAUUAACACAUACCCUCUGGAGACUGACAGGAACCAGGACAUGUUUGACUUUACCCCCUCCCCUUUUAGUAUAAAAGAAGCCUGAAUUUCUAACUCAGGCAAGAUGGUUCUUAGGGGCACGAGCCCACCACCUUCUCCGUCUGCUGGCUUUAUGAAUAAAGUCGCUGUUCUU